rnacentral:rRNA from 1 species
UACGUAGGUGGCAAGCGUUUGUCCGGAUUUAUUGGGCGUAAAGCGAGUGCAGGCGGUUCAAUAAGUCUGAUGUGAAAGCCUUCGGCUCAACCGGAGAAUUGCAUCAGAAACUGUUGAACUUGAGUGCAGAAGAGGAGAGUGGAACUCCAUGUGUAGCGGUGGAAUGCGUAGAUAUAUGGAAGAACACCAGUGGCGAAGGCGGCUCUCUGGUCUGCAACUGACGCUGAGGCUCGAAAGUGUGGGGAGCAAACAGG